UGCGGAGGUCCCAAGCGUUGUUCGGAUUCACUGGGCGUAAAGCGUGCGUAGGCGGAGAGAUAAGUUUGGCGUGCAAGCCCGUGGCUCAACCACGGAAUUGCGUUUGAAACUGCUUAGCUUGAGUGCAGGAGAGGAAAGCGGAAUUCCCAGUGUAGCGGUGAAAUGCAUUGAUAUUGGGAAGAACAUCUGUGGCGAAGGCGGCUUUCUGGUCUGUUACUGACGCUGAGAUACGAAAGCCAGGGUAGCGAACGGG
rnacentral:rRNA from 1 species